rnacentral:rRNA from 1 species
AUUGAACGCUGGCGGCAGGCCUAACACAUGCAAGUCGAGCGAGCGGCGGACGGGUGAGUAAUGUCUGGGAAACUGCCUGAUGGAGGGGGAUAACUACUGGAAACGGUAGCUAAUACCGCAUACCAUCAGAUGUUCCCAGAUGGGAUUAGCUAGUAGGUGGGGUAACGGCUCACCUAGGCGACGAUCCCUAGCUGGUCUGAGAGGAUGAUCAGCAAGACGUGAACUGAGACACGGUCCAGACUCCUACGGGAGUCAGCAGUGGGGAAUAGUGCACAAUGGGCGAAAGCCUGAUGCAGCCAUGCCGCGUGGGGGAAGAAGGCCGUCGGGUUGUAAAGCACUUUCAGCGGGGAGGCGUUACCCGCAGAAGAAGCACCGGCUAACUCCGUGCCAGCAGCCGCGGGAAUAC